GUACUCACUUCAGCAGCAAAUAUACUAAAAUUGGAAAGAUACAGAGAAUAUUAGCAUGGCCAUUGCAUAAGGAUGACACACAAAUUUAUAAAGUGUUCCAUAUUUUU
rnacentral:snRNA from 1 species